CUGACCUGAGGACAAAGACCAAAAAAUAAUGAGUCUCGAGCACAUUCGGUUCAAAUUGGGCAGAUAUGAAUACAACGUUCUCCAGAGUGACUAAGUGUUUCAAUUUCAACCCUACCAGAGGCCUUCACGGAAAAAGGAAGAAUCGUUGCCCUUAAAUGGUUCAUGGUGGAUUCCUACUUUACUAGCCGUAGUCAGAGUAUUACUUUCAUGCUAACAAUGAUUUCGGUCUCAUUGUCACUAAUAAAUGCAGGAUUUUUAUCAGAACUGAAGCAUCGAUAAGAGAAUCAAACCAUACGUCAUCAAAAAAUUAACAUCGUAACAACGACUAGAAAAGAGCAGAAAUUUGAAACACCGCGAAGGAGAUACCUGGUUUCGCACUUUGGCCAUCGAUAUGACAUUUUCCUUCAGAAGUAUACCAUUCGUGGGCCGGCUUCAGACAACUGAACCUGACAACUGAACUCAUGCCACUGAACCCGGCUGAAAAUAACUACAUCUAAACCCCAAACGAAGGGCGGUGUAGCUCUUUUCCAGUAUUGCUUCGGCUGUAAAUUGAAUCAAGUUUCAGAUUUUGAAGAAAGACACAAUGAGAAGGGCUUUGCCUUACCUUCUGUGUAUUUGACGAAGGCCCACGUACCCACUGCCAUACAUGUGUGGUGAUACACGUGAAGAACUGUAAUGUGUGACUGCUUCUUACGUAAUACAAAGAACACCUAAAAACGGAGAUUUCUUAGAAAAAUAACAAAAUUGACGUUGGUUAAAUUGAUGGUUGAAUAUCAGCCUACAUCUCGGCAAUGUGUAACUGCUAGUAUGUUUCAUAAUAUUACCUUGCUCCUCCGUUGCAAGGUAAGUACACUCAAAACUUUAUCAAGGAAAAUCUAGUGCGCCCAAAAAUUUUUUUCUGCUAAUUUCGGAGUACAUUAUUGCCCAAUUUGACUCAAGAAGAAUUUGAUUUUUGAUGAACUGUGAGUUGAAUCCAACGGAAAUGGAAUAGUUUCCUACUUAUGGGUUUGAUUUGGAAAUUUUUAAGUUGUUUUUUUCUUUUUCUUGUCAACAAUUAUAUUUAUAAAUAUCACAACUACUACUGGAAUUGUAUGCCUUGAACUAUUAAGAUGAAUUUUAUUCAUGAAGGUGUUAAGAGACAUAGUAACGUUAGAUAAUGCAAAUUUUCUAGGAGACCAUAAAUGUUGAAAUCCUCUGACUUUGGUUAUAAAUUUUCUAAGGGUUGAAGGCUAAUCUAAGUGAGAUUUUCAUGAGGAACCUGAUUUGACCAUUCAAUAUUCCUAACUUUGUCUACGGCGGUUCACAACUUAACUGGAAGGCUAUGACGUCAUUUUUCGAUUACAGCAUUCAAUAACUAACAUUAAUUGAAAACACUAAUGUGCAUAUCUCACUUUGGAGUCAAUUUCCGA